rnacentral:rRNA from 1 species
GCGUGAGUGAAGAAGGCCUUCGGGUUGUAAAGCUCUUUUACCCCUGACGAUAAUGACGGUAAGGGGAGAAAAAGCCACGGCUAACUUCGUGCCAGCAGCCGCGGUAAUACGAAGGUGGCAAGCGUUGUUCGGAUUUACUGGGCGUAAAGAGUGCGUAGGCGGUUUAACAAGUCAGGAGUGAAAUCCCGGGGCUCAACCCCGGAAUUGCUUUUGAAACUGUUUUACUUGAAUCCGGUAGAGGUUGGCGGAAUUCCGAGUGUAGAGGUGAAAUUCGC